GAGUUACUCCCUCCGAUCCAUAUUAAUUGUCUCGAAUUUGCCCAAAUAUGGAUGUUCUAUGCCUAAAAAGCGUCUAAAAAGCGUCUAGAUACAUGUAAUAUUUCGACAAUUAAUAUGGAUCGGAGGGAGUAGCUA
rfam:Brachypodium distachyon strain Bd21 chromosome 1, whole genome shotgun sequence.